rnacentral:sRNA from 10 species
AAAUGUGUGAAGGAGUAGUUUUACUGAAUCAGUGGAAACAAGGAAACACUUGAUUUGGUAAAACUAUAAA